GGCGUUAUUGUCGCACCUAUCGAAAGGGAAGUAGGUUAAUAUUCCUACACCAGGAUGUGGAUAAUUAAUACGGUAACGUAAAUGAACUUGGUGACGUCAGGGAGGACCCCGGGGAGAGUUAUCUUUUCUUUUUAACGAUCGUAAAGACCAUGGAAUUUCGGAUUAACCGGAGAUAUGGUAUUUUGAUUGCAAGAGCCCGACACUUAGUUAGGUCCGGUGCGUUCUCAAUGACCCUUGAAAAACCAAGG
rnacentral:rRNA from 1 species